rnacentral:tRNA from 1 species
GGCCGCUUGGUCUAGUAGUAUGAUUCCUGUUUUGGGCUCACGGGUCGAAGUUACAGGAGGUCGUGGGUUCAAUUCCCACAGCGGCCC